rnacentral:rRNA from 1 species
CAUGCAGUCGAGCGGCAGCACGGGUACUUGUACCUGGUGGCGAGCGGCGGACGGGUGAGUAAUGCCUAGGAAUCUGCCUAGUAGUGGGGGAUAACGUCCGGAAACGGGCGCUAAUACCGCAUACGUCCUACGGGAGAAAGUGGGGGAUCUUCGGACCUCACGCUAUUAGAUGAGCCUAGGUCGGAUUAGCUAGUUGGUGAGGUAAUGGCUCACCAAGGCGACGAUCCGUAACUGGUCUGAGAGGAUGAUCAGUCGCACUGGAACUGAGACACGGUCCAGACUCCUACGGGAGGCAGCAGUGGGGAAUAUUGGACAAUGGGCGAAAGCCUGAUCCAGCCAUGCCGCGUGUGUGAAGAAGGUCUUCGGAUUGUAAAGCACUUUAU